rnacentral:rRNA from 1 species
CCAUUCGAUCCGUAAGGACUGGAUGGGGAAACCGGCGAACGGGUGCGUAACACGUGAGGAACCUGCCCCGAAGAUCGGGAUAGCCCGAGGAAACUCGGAUUAAUACCGGAUACCCUCUUUGGACCACAUGGUCCGCUGAGGAAAUGGUCCGCCGCUUCGGGAUGGCCUCGCGGCCUAUCAGCUUGUUGGUGAGGUAACGGCUCACCAAGGCAAAGACGGGUAGCUGGUCUGAGAGGACGAUCAGCCACACUGGGACUGAGACACGGCCCAGACUCCUACGGGAGGCAGCAGCAGGGAAUAUUGCACAAUGGGCGAAAGCCUGAUGCAGCGACACCGCGUGCGGGAUGAAGGCCCUCGGGUUGUAAACCGCUUUCAGGAGGGACGAAAAUGACGGUACCUCCAGAAGAAGGCCCGGCCAACUACGUGCCAGCAGCCGCGGUAAUACGUAGGGGCCAAACGUUGUCCGGAUUUAUUGGGCGUAAAGGGCUCGUAGGCGGUUCAACAAGUCGAUCGUGAAAGCCCGGGGCUCAACCCCGGGACGCCGGUCGAAACUGUUGUGACUAGGGUCCGGUAGAGGUGAGUGGAAUUCUCGGUGUAGCGGUGGAAUGCGCAGAUAUCGAGAGGA